rnacentral:rRNA from 1 species
UACGUAGGCAGCAAGCGUUGUUCGGAAUUACUGGGCGUAAAGAGUGUGUAGGCGGUGUUCUAAGUUUGUCGUGAAAUCUCCCGGCUUAACUGGGAGGGUGCGGCGAAAACUGGAAUGCUAGAGGAUGGGAGAGGUAAGCGGAAUUCCUGGUGUAGCGGUGAAAUGCGUAGAUAUCAGGAGGAACACCGGUGGUGUAGACGGCUCUCUGGACCGUAACUGACGCUGAGGCACGAAAGCGUGGGGAGCAAACAGG